ensembl:misc_RNA 7SK 7SK RNA
GGAUGUGAAGGUGAUCUGGCUGCGACAUCUGUCACCCCCCAUUGAUUGCCAGGGUUGAUUCGGCUGAUCUGGCUGGCUAGGCAGGUGUCCCCUUCCUCCCUCACUGCUCCAUGUGCAUCCCUCCCAAAGUUGCAUGCUGGGUCAAAGAGAACGACCUUCCCUGAUAGAGGAGGACCGUUCUCCGGUCAAGGGUAUACGAGUAACUGCAUUCCCCCUGCGAGAACCUCCAAACAAGCUUUCAAGGUCCAAAAAACAGGUUUAACCUUUUCAAAAUUUGCCCUGAAGACAUUUCUCAGAAAUAUCUGGGAUU